UACGAAGGUCCCAAGCGUUAUCCGGAUUUAUUGGGUUUAAAGGGUGCGUAGGCGGGUUGUUAAGUCAGUGGUGAAAGCCUACAGCUUAACUGUAGAAUUGCCAUUGAUACUGACGAUCUUGAGUGUGGUUGAGGUGGGCGGAAUGUAUCAUGAAGCGGUGAAAUGCUUAGAUAUGAUACAGAACACCGAUUGCGAAGGCAGCUCACUAAGCCACUACUGACGCUGAGGCACGAAGGCGUGGGGAGCAAACAGG
rnacentral:rRNA from 1 species